rnacentral:rRNA from 1 species
GACGAACGCUGGCGGCGCGCUUAACACAUGCAAGUCGAACGGAAAGGCCUGCUUUCCCUUGUGGAUUGCGGGUACUCGAGUGGCGAACGGGUGAGUAACACGUGAGUGAUCUGCCCCCAACUUGGGUAUAAGCCUGGGAAACUGGGUCUAAUUCCCGAUAGGACUGCAGGGUGGUGCCUGUGGUGGAAAACGAUUUUCUAGUGGUUGGGGAUGAGCUCGCGGCCUAUCAGCUCGUUGGUGGGGUAAUGGCCUACCAAGGCGGCGACGGGUAGCCGGCCUGGGAGGGUGGACGGCCACAUUGGGACUGAGAUACGGCCCAGACUCCUACGGGAGGCAGCAGUGGGGAAUAUUGCACAAUGGGCGGAAGCCUGAUGCAGCGACGCCGCGUGGGGGAUGACGGCCUUCGGGUUGUAAACUCCUUUCGACCGCGAGGAAGCCACCUGGUUGGAAGGGUGGUGACGGUAGUGGUAGAAGAAGCACCGGCUAACUACGUG